GGGGGUGUGGUAGGUAUGCUUGAGAGGUGUGUGUUAUGCUGUGUGUAGUGGUUGCAGUCUGGCAAGUUUUAAAUCACUUUCACAGACUAAACUGCACAGAUUUCCACACACAGGCCAGACUGAAGAAGAGGAUAUUGCCAUGUCGAGUGAUGUUAACAGGCAGGCUGUUUUACAAGCGCUAAAAGUUCAAACCCAUUUGAAACAAGAUGGAAGCUGAAUCAAAAGAUCUCAAGAUGUUCAGGACACGCCUACAGAAGUAAAAGCACGGUAAUGCAGGUUUUCGCUGUCAUCUGCUGGCUGAGAGUGGUAGCCAAAAGGUCUUUCUCAUGUUAUCUUGAACAGUAAAACUGAUCAGUGUGAACAUCGCUGUCUCUCUCACUCUCACUUUUUUUUUCUGUUUACUCUCCACAGGAAACCAAUAAAGCUAGUAAAGCCUAAGAAUGUGUCACCACCUGAGGGCAGUUUGGUCUCUUCCUCCAUUAUGCCAUGUGCACAGAGUGCCACCUCCUCCAGCCUGGACUCAUCCACACCUCCUCAAAACUCUUAUGUUUGAGUGAGAGCUAUUCUUAUGUUCCUUGUGUGUGAUUCCUGUAUUCAGUGUUUCUGAAUUCAUUUUGUUUCCAUUAAAAAACUUCAGCCUUCUGUUCUUCCUUAGCCCCUUGAACUCAACAGAAAACACACCAGUCAGGAGUGAGUCCAAUCUGGCCAAAAGUGUAAAUCCUGUCCUUGAGGACUCCAUGAGACCACAUGUUGAGAAUGAAGCGGAGACAUCAAUAAUCAAACCCGCAGAGCAACCAUUGAAGACACCUGUUCCUGUAAAGGACAUAACAGAAAAAUCUAUCAUCAUACCUGUAGAGGAACCAUUGAAGACACAUGCGGACACUCCUAAAACAGAUGUAGUGGAGAAACCUACAGAAAAACCUGUAGAGGAUCCAAUGAAGACACCUACAGAUGUUCCUGUAGAGAACAUAGAGUGAAACCUGUAGAAGAAUCACUGAAGACAUAUGCAG